rnacentral:rRNA from 1 species
GAUUAAGCCAUGCAUGUGUAAGUAUAAAUAGUUAACUUUGAAACUGCGAAUGGCUCAUUAUAUCAGUUAUAGUUUAUUUGAUGAAGAAUACUAAUUGGAUAACCGUAGUAAUUCUAGAGCUAAUACAUGUAUAAAGUCUUGUAGACUGCAUUUAUUAGAAUGAAAACCAUAGGUUUCGGCCUAUUCGUGAGUAAUAAUAACUAAUCAUAUCGUAUGCUUAAGUAACGAUGUGUCUUUCAAGUUUCUGCCCUAUCAGCUUCGAUGGUAGUGUAUUGGACUACCAUG